UUUCUUGCUCUUUCGACAUACCCAGGGCGGCCAGCAGGUGGCUUCCUAGUGAGCAGGUGGCUUUCCUGCCAGUGAGGCCAGGGAUACUGCAACCCAAGGAAGAAGCUCCAGCAGCACCCACCGUGGGCCGUUUCCUGCCAUCCCAUCCUGGCCUGUGGCAUCUCAGCAAAUUUCUCCUCCAGUGGUUCAUGGAUCCAUCAUCUCCAACAAGCAGGUGAAUAAGAUGGGAUCUGAAAUCAUCGUGGCGGAGUCCAGUGAAAGAAGCAGAAGGGAGCUGAAGUUUUCUGAGGGUAGAUGGAAUAAGGAAGAAUGAUGAAAAAAAAGAAGGAAGAAAAAUUCACUAAAGUGGUUCAACAACUGGAGGUGUCUGGCCAGGCUGAAGAACAAAUCAGUGAACUUGAAGAUAAGGCCAACUGAGAAGCAGAAAAAUGAACAGAGCCUAAAAGACCUGUUUCAAACCAACAUAUACAUAAUGGGAAUGUCUGAAAGACAGGAGAAAGAGAAAGAAUCAGAUAUUUAAAGAAAUAAUAGCUAAAACUUUCCAAAUUUGAUGACAGACAUGAAUCUAUACAUCCAAGAAGCUCAAGGAUAAAGUAGGAUAAACUUAAGGAGACUCACACUAAGAUACAGUAUAAUCAAACUAUUUAAAGUAAAGAAAAUAUUGAAAGCAUUAAGAGAAAACCAACUCAUUAUGUACAAGAGAUCCUCAGUAAGAUUAAAACUUAAUUCCUUA